rnacentral:rRNA from 1 species
UACAGAGGGGGCAAGCGUUGUUCGGAAUUACUGGGCGUAAAGGGCGCGUAGGCGGCCUUCUAAGUCGAACGUGAAAUCCCCGGGCUCAACCCGGGAACUGCGUCCGAUACUGGAAGGCUUGAAUCCGGGAGAGGGAUGCGGAAUUCCAGGUGUAGCGGUGAAAUGCGUAGAUAUCAGGAGGAACACCGGUGGCGAAGGCGGUUCUCUGGGCCUGUACUGACGCUGAGGAACGAAAGCGUGGGGAGCGAACAGG